GAUGAACACUGGCGGCGUGCUUAACACAUGCAAGUCGAACGAAGCAUUUAGAACAGAUUAUUUCGGUAUGAAGUUCUUUAUGACUGAGUGGCGGACGGGUGAGUAACGCGUGGGUAACCUGCCUUGUACUGGGGGAUAGCAGCUGGAAACGGCUGGUAAUACCGUAUAAGCGCACGAUGUCGCAUGACAUAGUGUGAAAAACUCCGGUGGUAUAAGAUGGACCCGCGUCUGAUUAGCUAGUUGGUGAGAUAACAGCCCACCAAGGCGACGAUCAGUAGCCGACCUGAGAGGGUGACCGGCCACAUUGGGACUGAGACACGGCCCAGACUCCUACGGGAGGCAGCAGUGGGGAAUAUUGCACAAUGGAGGAAACUCUGAUGCAGCGACGCCGCGUGAGUGAAGAAGUAAUACGUUAUGCAAAGCUCUAUCAGCAGGGAAGAUAGUGACGGUACCUGACUAAGAAGCUCCGGCUAAAUACGUGCCAGCAGCCGCCGUAAGAC
rnacentral:rRNA from 1 species